GCUGGCGGCGUGCUUACACAUGCAAGUCGAACGAUGAACUGGCGCUUGCGUCGGGGAUUAGUGGCGAACGGGUGAGUAACACGUGAGUAACCUGCCCUUAACUCUGGGAUAAGCCUGGGAAACUGGGUCUAAUACCGGAUAUUGACUUUUCACCGCAUGGUGUUUUGUUGAAAGCUUUAGUGGUUUUGGAUGGACUCGCGGCCUAUCAGCUUGUUGGUGAGGUAAUGGCUUACCAAGGCGACGACGGGUAGCCGGCCUGAGAGGGUGACCGGCCACACUGGGACUGAGACACGGCCCAGACUCCUACGGGAGGCAGCAGUGGGGAAUAUUGCACAAUGGGCGAAAGCCUGAUGCAGCGACGCCGCGUGAGGGAUGACGGCCUUCGGGUUGUAAACCUCUUUCAGUAGGGAACAAGG
rnacentral:rRNA from 1 species